AGUGAACGCUGGCGGCAGGCCUAACACAUGCAAGUCGAGCGGCAGCGGGACCUUCGGGAUGCCGGCGAGCGGCGGACGGGUGAGGAAUGCAUCGGAAUCUGCCCUGUCGUGGGGGAUAACCUAGGGAAACUUAGGCUAAUACCGCAUACGACCCACGGGUGAAAGCGGGGGAUCGCAAGACCUCGCGCGAUAGGAUGAGCCGAUGUCCGAUUAGCUAGUUGGCGGGGUAAAGGCCCACCAAGGCGACGAUCGGUAGCUGGUCUGAGAGGAUGAUCAGCCACACUGGGACUGAGACACGGCCCAGACUCCUACGGGAGGCAGCAGUGGGGAAUAUUGGACAAUGGGCGCAAGCCUGAUCCAGCUAUGCCGCGUGGGUGAAGAAGGCCUUCGGGUUGUAAAGCCCUUUUGUCCGGGAAGAAAUCGUCUGGGCUAAUACCCCGGGCGGAUGACGGUACCGGAAGAAUAAGCACCAGCUAACUUCGUG
rnacentral:rRNA from 1 species